CACCGCCCGUCACUACUACCGAUUGAAUGAUUUGGUGAGGUCUUCGGACCGAUACCCGGAGCGGCCUUUCGGUUGCGACGGUGUGUUGGAAAGAUGACUAAACUUGAUUAUUUAGAGGAAUUAUGUAAAAGCCGUAACAAGGUUUCUGAAGGUGAACCUGCGGAAG
rnacentral:rRNA from 1 species